UGCAGGGUGGCAGAGCGGUAAUGCAACAGCUUCAUAAGCUGCCCUAUGUGGGUCCAACUCCCACCCCUGCAACCA
rnacentral:tRNA from 2 species